UACUGCUGAAAACUGGAUGAAUAAAACUGAUACAAGGAAUUAAGGACUCACGAAAACGGUGAUCAUUUAUUUUUGGAUCAGAUUCUUUCCAAACAUCGGAUCCUUGGACAAAAGCAACAAAAGAGACAUUCCUUGUACUAAAAAGGCUGGAUACCAGUACUUCCAUCAGACUCCCUAUUUUAAUAGCAAGCCUGGUGAGGGAGUUCCUUCUGAAGGCUCACACUGGCUUAACUAACAUUGACUACUGUGUUAGGAUUAGUCAUUGCUGACUGUGCCAGCCUGCAGCCUCAUAAUCAGAGCCUUGUCACCAAGCAUGGCUGCCUCAGUGACUGGAAUGGAAAUGAAAAUAAAGCAAGUGUUAUUUUCCUCAUCCUGAAGCAACAGAGAACUGCAUCAGGCUUACCAACAUGAACGUGGGUAAGAAGGAGUUUUGAAGUCCAGCAAAGAUUUUAUAGCUAGUGAGGCUGGCUGGAAGCAGGGUCGAUCUGGUCUGAUGUGUUGCAAGAUGUGAACUUAUUAAGGCAUCACAGAGGCAACUCCCAGCGGGGGUGGAGGAGAGCAGCAGGGAUGGAAAGGAAGAAGACUCUCAAGAUAGGAUGCUCCAAAGGAUGAUUGGAAGAGAAGGGUGAUGUCUGGAAGCGAUAAGCCUCAGAUGUUUGUUUGCACCUUACUGGAAAGCCAUGUAAAUUAAUGGAAACUUCCUGGCAAAAUAGCUUGACUUGUAGCAACUUCACAACCAUAACAAUCCAGAGGUGAGGUUUGCCCGCACCCUAUUCAUUUCAAUCCCGAAGGCAAUUUUCCCCUUGGCCAGAGAGAAGCUCAAGAACAAAAAACCAAACACCGCAUGUUCUCACUCAUAGGUGGGAAUUGAACAAUGAGAACACAUGGACACAGGAAGGGGAACAUCACACUCUGGGGACUGUUGUGGGGUGGGGGGAGGGGGGAGGGAUAGCAUUAGGAGAUAUACCUAAUGUUAAAUGACAAGUUAAUGGGUGCAGCACACCAGCAUGGCACAUGUAUACAUAUGUAACUAACCUGCACAUUAUGCACAUGUACCCUAA
rnacentral:lncRNA from 10 species